rnacentral:rRNA from 1 species
CCCUUAGAUGUUCUGGGCCGCACGCGCGCUACACUGAUGCAUUCAACGAGUCUAAAACCUGCUCUGAUAGGGGUGGGUAAUCUUUUGAAUGUGCAUCGUGAUUGGGAUAGAUGAUUGCAAUUUUUCAUCUUCAACGAGGAAUGCCUAGUAGACGCAAGUCAUCAGCUUGCAUUGAUUACGUCCCUGCCCUUGUACACACCGCCCGUCGCUCCUACCGAUUGAAUGAUCCGAUGAAUAUCAUGGAUUGAGGAUGCAAGCAGGUUCGCCUGUCUUCAUCUUCGAGAAGUGAAGUAAAUCUUAUCAUUUAGAGGAAGGAGAAGUCGUAACA